UACUUCUGUGUAAUGCGAUGAGAGGACGGAGUAAGUUAAGUCAGCCUGGCGUUGGUUGUCCAGGUGAAAGGAUGUAGGCAUGUAUCUUAGGCAAAUCCGGGGUACUCUAUGCUGAGAUCUGAUAGCAAGCUGUACUUGUACAGUGAAGUGGCUGAUACCAUGCUUCCAGGAAAAGUCUCUAAGCUUCAGUUACACAGGAAUCGUACCCGAAACCGACACAGGUGGUCAGGUCGAGUAGACCAAAGCGCUUGAGAGAACUCUGCUGAAGGAACUAGGCAAAAUGGUACCGUAACUUCGGGAGAAGGUACGCUGCUGACGGUGAUGGGACUUGCUCCCUGAGCUGUUGGCAGCCACAGAAACCAGGCCCCUGCAACUGUUUAUUAAAAACAUAGCACUCUGCAAACACGAAAGUGGACGUAUAGGGUGUGAUGCCUGCCCGGUGCUGGAAGGUUAAUUGAUGGGGUUAGCGUAAGCGAAGCUCUUGAUCGAAGCCCCAGUAAACGGCGGCCGUAACUAUAACGGUCCUAAGGUAGCGAAAUUCCUUGUCGGGUAAGUUCCGACCUGCACGAAUGGCAUAAUGAUGGGGGCGCUGUCUCCAGCAGAGACUCAGUGAAAUCGAAUUCGCCGUGAAGAUGCGGUGUACCCGCGGCUAGACGGAAAGACCCCGUGAACCUUUACUGCAGCUUGACAUUGAACUUUGAUCUUACUUGUGUAGGAU
rnacentral:rRNA from 1 species